rnacentral:rRNA from 1 species
CGAAAUUCCUUGUCGGGUAAGUUCCGACCUGCACGAAUGGUGUAAUGAUCUGGACACUGUCUCAACCGUGAGCUCGGUGAAAUUGUAGUAUCGGUGAAGAUGCCGAUUACCCGCAACGGGACGGAAAGACCCCGUGAACCUUUACUGCAGCUUUGCAUUGAACUGUGAACCGAUUUGUGUAGGAUAGGUGGGAGGCAGAGAAGAGGCCACGCCAGUGGUCUUGGAGCCGACCUUGAAAUACCACCCUGAUUUGUUUGCGGUUCUAACCACGGACAGUGAUCCUGUCUUGGGACCGUGCAUGGUAGGCAGUUUGACUGGGGCGGUCUCCUCCUAAAGGGUAACGGAGGAGUGCGAAGGUACGCUAAUCACGGUCGGAAAUCGUGAGGAUACUGCAAUGGGAAAAGCGUGCCUGACUGCGAGACAGACAAGUCGAGCAGAUGCGAAAGCAGGUCAUAGUGAUCCGGUGGCUUCUGUAUGGAAGGGCCAUCGCUCAACGGAUAAAAGGUACUCUGGGGAUAACAGGCUGAUACCGCCCAAGAGUUCAUAUCGACGGCGGUGUUUGGCACCUCGAUGUCGGCUCAUCUCAUCCUGGGGCUGUAGUCGGUCCCAAGGGUAUGGCUGUUCGCCAUUUAAAGAGGUACGUGAGCUGGGUUUAAAACGUCGUGAGACAGUUUGGUCCCUAUCUACCGCGGGCGCUGGAAGAUUGACAGGGGCUGCUCCUAGUACGAGAGGACCGGAGUGGACGCACCUCUGGUGUAUCGGUUGUGACGCCAGUCGCAUUGCCGAGUAGCUAUGUGCGGAAGAGAUAACCGCUGAAAGCAUCUAAGCGGGAAACUUGCCUGAAGAUUAGUCUUCCCGGAGGCUUGACCUCCCUGAAGGGUCGUCCGAGACCAGGACGUUGAUAGGCCAGGUGUGGAAGCGCUGUGAGGCGUGAAGCUAACUGGUACUAAUUGCCCGUGCGGCUUGAUCCU